rnacentral:rRNA from 1 species
UAACCUACCCAUCAGAGGGGGAUAACACUUGGAAACAGGUGCUAAUACCGCAUAACAGUUUAUGCCGCAUGGCAUAAGAGUGAAAGGCGCUUUCGGGUGUCGCUGAUGGAUGGACCCGCGGUGCAUUAGCUAGUUGGUGAGGUAACGGCUCACCAAGGCCACGAUGCACAGCCGACCUGAGAGGGUGAUCGGCCACACUGGGACUGAGACACGGCCCAG